rnacentral:ncRNA from 1 species
CAUCGCGAUGCUCUUCAAUCAUGGAGACAUCGUGAUGAGGAUACUUUCAAAACGCCAGCUGAAGGAGUUGGUCUUGUAUUCGCCGCAACACAUUGCACGCCUGGAAAAGGCAGGCCAAUUCCCUAAGCGGGUACAGCUUGGCCCGAACAGGGUGGGAUGGGUUGAAGAUGAAAUACUGGAUUGGCUUCAAACGAGGCUGGACUGUCGAACAAUCCUACCCGACACUCCUGACUAAGGAGCAAGGGUGAUCGAGCGUGCACAGCUC